rnacentral:lncRNA from 1 species
AAAAGACCAAACAAACCAGCAAAUUGAUGGUUCUCAGCUACCUGUAAAUAUGAUGCAACCACAGGUGAAUGUAAUUCCACAACAAAUGAAUGCCCAGCACCAGCCUAUGAAUAUCUUCCCAUAUCCUGUGGGUGUUCACGCCCCUGUGAUGAACAUCCAGCGCCAUCCCUAUAACAUUCAUCCUCAGCUGCCUGUGCAUCUGCACACAGGAGUGCCUCUCGUGCAGGUAGCCGCUCCUCCCACUGUCACUCAGGGAUUGCCACCGCCACCGCCACCGCCACCGCCCUCCCAGCAAGUCAACUACAUAGCUGCACAGCCAGAUGGAAAACAACUGCAGAAAUUACAAAUUCAAGAAAAAGCAGCACAGGAGGUAAAACUGGCGAUUAAGCCAUUUUACCAAAACAAAGAUAUCACCAAGGAAGAAUAUAAAGAGAUUGUACGGAAAGCAGUAGAUAAAGUAAGUUACAGCUUUUGUGGAGUUAUGUGCGUAUCGUUUUGAACCACUUCUGUUUUAAUAAAAAAAAAGUUUAAGUUUAAUUAAUAAAACCUAGCUUCUACUAAUUCUUGUCUGCUUUUUUACCAUUUGAAUAAGUCUGGCUAUCUCUUUGGGGGUUUUUUCACAAAGCUUUCCAUUUUACUUUAAUUCUUUUAAGCAUGAAAAAAGUUUUCCUCCCUUUUUUCUUAGGUUUGUCAUAGUAAGAGUGGAGAAGUAAAUUCUACUAAAGUGGCUAAUCUGGUUAAAGCCUAUGUAGACAAAUACAAAUACUCACGGAAGGGGAGCCAAAAGAAAACUGUGGAGGAGCCUGUGUCUGCUGAAAACAACGUAGGCUGAGAUGAGGAACGCUGUAAAGGACAUCAUCAAGACACCUGCGAAGUGCAAUUUCAACAUGACCAUCAGGAGAAAGUCAUGCACAACUGUGACUGAAAUUGGUUUUGAUAAAAUUAUUUUUUUUAAUGUAGGCUAGGCUGUUUUGUUCUAAAUAAAUAUAAUUCUGCACUGCAACUUCCAUAUCCACACCCUCACCUCCAAUAAAUAAAUUCAAGAGAAAGUAAAAGGUUUAAAGGAAUGUGCAUUUUUUACUAGAACUGUGUACUCAUGUGGAUUCUGGAAGGUGUUGUACAGCUUUUUGAUUUGACUGUAGGGUUAUAACAAUGGGGUGCAUAAAUUAGAAACUUCUACGUGCACUGGCUUUGGAAGAGAUAUAUGUAUAAUACUUUUAUUCUGUCAGACUAAAAAAAGUAUGAACUCUGACUUUCUUCCUCUAAUUAUAGAAAGUUAAAUAAUGUAUUACCAUGAAAAAUAUUUCUAAUAAAUAGAACAUACCCAAUUGCAGGGUUCCUAAUGUGUAUUUUUAAAGCACAUAUCUGCUUAGAUAGAAAAUAAAUUAUCACUUGAAUAAAAUUUAGUGUUCAAAACUUUGAGAACUCUUCACCUAUGUGUCACCAAAUAAAGGUUAUGCUGCUGUUUUUCUUUUGUGCCUUUUUUUCCCCCAGUUGAGAUUAAGCAGUUUGAUUUGCUAGAUUAUGACUUAGGCAGUUCAAAGUCAUUGAAUUUAGAAGACCAAUUUGAAAACGUGUUGACUUUGUAAAAAUUAUGUUCUUGCAUCAUAUCUUUUAUGAAAUGAUAAAUUAUUUGUGCCAAGUGGACAGAUGUUUAGUGGGAACCCUCCCUUCCUUGGGACUAAGGUAGAAAUUCCAAGACUGACUCACUGGCUUCAGAUUGUUGCUCAUCUUAUCUAGUCACUUGUGAAAUCUUUCCACAUGUGAAAAAUCCCCAAAUGCUUUACAGCACAUGUAGUGUUAAUUUGAUGACCAUAUCAUAGCCAUUGGUCAUGUUUAAAAUUCUAGAUAUUAAAACCUGUGCUUGACAAAGGGAGAGGAGAAUUAAGUAGUGGAGUUUUUUUGUUUGUUUGUUUUGUUUUUGUUUUGGUACUGGGGAUCAAACUCGGGUCCUUUCCUUGCAAGGCCAGGCAGCAGAACCACUCAGCUAAAUCCCUGGUCCCAAGUAGUGGAGUUUUGAUUAGGCUUCCAAGGACUAGGGAUUCGGUUACUUUUUGAAAGUACAUUUACAAUCUGUUAAUUUUUAUAAAAGGUAAGUUUAAAAUGUUUAUAGCACCUUUACUUGGCAUCUAGAAAGACAAAUGAGUUCUUUCCAUGAUAAGCUAUCUUUCAUUCCAGUAGUGAUUUUCACUAGAUACCAAAUAACUGGAAUGGUAUUAAGAUAACAUGUUAACAGAUCCAAGGUAAAUCAGCACGACUUGGUGAUACAGAUCCUUUUACUCACUACUAGUGAGAGCAAUAAUUGGUGGAACUGCUUUUAUAAAGUUAGAGAUUAUCCCUUUCUCAGUUUUUUGUGCAUAAUACUUUCCUGGUGCUAGGUUUGAUAGACAAAAUAUUUUGAAAUGUUGGACCCCAUGGUGAUUGUGCUUUGUUAAUAAGCUUUGUUAGGUUAGGAUUGGGAUCCUACAAAAUUUUCAAGCAGUUUUUAAUCUUCAUUCUACAUUUCUGGGUGUUUGUAAUAUGGUAUUUUACUUAAAAUAUAUAUAUAUUUUUAAUUAAAGUUUGUGUUCGGAUUAUGGGGAAAGAGGUUUAGAAGUAUGUUUGUUCUAAUGAAGUAUUGAGACAGUUUUAAAUAUCAGUGCACACCUCCGGAGUUGUUUCAGUUUCGAAUUCCAUAAACUGGUGUGAACUUGCAGUCUAUUUUGAAUUAAAGCUGGUUCACGCUUUGAAAUUUUGUGGCAAAUUGCUGUGCCUGAGCUGAUAAAUCACACAAUUCAUGCUUUUCCUGCAUUUUAAGUGACAUUUGGGAAUUGAGUGACUUAAAAAUGUAUUACCAUUCAGCUUUUGCAACAAGGUUUUAAAGUUUUGAAUAAAAGCUAGGUGAUGUGGUGAAGAGUUAAAAGCCCCGUAAAUUAUUUUCAUCAUUCUCAAAAAUAACAAGUAUGUUUGCCAUAUCUGAUUGGUGUACUGGUUGGACUGUAUUUAAAAUUGUUAAUGAAGAAUGUUGCUGGGUUAGAAUUUAAAUUUUUAAACUCUGAACUGUGUAAGAAUGAAUUAGAAAAUGCAUGCUUUACGUUUUUAAAUACAUGGCUUUAACAUUGCCCAUUCCCCCCCCCCCCGAAAUUCACAAUAAUUUUGCAUGUGCACAAACUUAAUCAGAAACAGUUUUGGGGGCUACAGAUUCCUUUUUUCUUUAUCAGGAUUCAGUAUUGACCUUUGACCUUUGAACCUUGGUCCCUUUUUACUUACUAGUCACAUUGACCGAUGUUUUAGAUUAUAGAGAUAACCUAGAAUUUUGAGACUAAUAGUAGUUAGCCGUUAUUUUAACAUUCCAAAAGUUUUGUAAUUUUUGUUGAGUUCUGCUUACCACAUUUUCUGCAUUAUUUUCCUUUAAAUGACUGCACUGUGUGCUGCUUCAGUGUUUCAUCCAAAAGAUGUAGUUUCAGUGGUUGCCCCAGGGUCUGAAACAUUGUAGUAAGAGGUUGGAGUGCUGUCUACUGAAACAUACUCUUAAAUAUGUAGUGUGUAAUAUUUUCUAAUAAAUCCUUUUGAUAAACAAAGUAGUGUCUUUAAUAUUGUAUCACUAAGGUUUCUGGGAAAUGAUGACUUUUACUUUUAUCAUAACCCUUUUAAAAACACAUGUCGAUGUAUUUCAGUCAUGAGUGUCAUAGUUAUAUUAGUGUCCAGGCUCCGAUGCAAGCGUACAGUUUGCUGUCAUAUUUUAACAGCAUUUUUUCCUAAGUACAUCACCAUUGUAGGAAUUUAGAAAAAUUGGUAAAAGAGGGAAGAGUUUCAAAAACAAAAGGAGAGAAAUCACUUGUAAUUCUUCCAAAGGUUUCCCAACUUACGUUGCUGAUUAGACUUCACAUAACUAUCCUUUUCUUUUUGGGUGUAUUGAGAAUUUUUCAUUUUAAUAAAAACUAUUGUACAGAAUAACUCAAUGGCCAUAUUCUGUUUUGGGGUUUUUUUUUGUGUUUUUUUUUUGGUACUGAGGAUCAAACUCGGGACCUUGCACUUGCAAGGCAGGCACCAGAACCACUGAGCUAAAUCCCUAGCCUGGCCAUACUCUAUUAAACAGGUGUUCUCUUUUAAAAUAAUCCUCUAUUGUUGGGAAUUAAGUUUUUGCAGCACAGAUUUUUACUAAUACACA